ensembl:lncRNA
AAGCAUCUAUCAACCAGUGAAUGGAUAAACAGCAUGUGGUCCAUCCAUACAGUGGAAUAUUAUUCAGCCACAAAAAGUGUGAAGUACUGAUAUACGCUACAACAUGCAUGAGCCUUGAUGAAAAAAGGCAGAAGCCAAACACAACAUAUCAUAGGAUUCCAUUUCUAGGAAACAUCCGGAAUCUAACGAGACCGAAAGCAGAUUUGUGGUUGCCGAGAAAUGCAUUUCCUGGGGAACUGGGUUUGGCUGGCUGGUUCGCUUCAGCUAAUGGAGUGGGGAAAGCAGUGGCUUCUGCUCAUUCCAAGUGGAUGUUUGAAGAAUCAUGGGGAUUUCCCGCCGGCCCUGUCUCCCUCAGCCCAAGUCCAUCAGAUGGAGUUUGUGGGGCAGAACGGAAGCCAACAGCAGCGUGAGCAGAGCUACCUGACUGUCCGUGACUCCAAGGGAGAAAUAAGUGCUGUAAAACGGAAAAAGACCAGCAAAAUACAAAAUAUGUGGUCAGCGAGACAAGAAACACAAAACACAAGGGCUGUGGUGCAGAAAGAGAUCACUUCUGACUCAGGAAUCACAGAACAUCUAGAAGGAACGAACAUUUCCAUGAUCAGUUAUUUCAGGAGACGAAAGCCCAGUCGUACACAAAUUGUGCUCCUCCCUGGAUGCUACUG